UGAGACUUAUAUGGGUUGUUUGGUAUCCAAAGGAGGGGAAACCAAAAGCUUAACAUGAAGGAAAUUGUGAAGACUUUGUUCCACUGAUACAUUCCCAGCAGAAUGAGCAUAUGAGAUGCUUAUACCACUGACUGAGAGUGCAUCAGUUGGUCAAGUCUUCUCCCAAUACCUGCAAAAUAGAGCAAACCUAUUAGAAAAGGGGGGCUCAUAGUCCAGGAGACUGGAUAUGAGUAUGGGGACAGGGGGAUUAUGACCCCUUGUUUAUGAAAGAGAAAAGGAGAGGGAAAAAGGUGGCAGGUUCUUGUGGAGACUGCCACCAGUUGUUUUGUUUUUCCCUGGUGUGAAGAGGCCAACAGAGGGUGCAAUUUUUGGGUAUGAGAUCAGGGGUGUUGGAUUGAAUGGGUGAAAGAAAGCAAUGAGGAAAGCAGAGAUGCAAACAGCAGAAGUUGGAGAAUGAAUUUCUACAUUUUCUAUAGUUU
rnacentral:lncRNA from 1 species